rnacentral:tRNA from 1 species
UAGUUCAGUUUGGUAGAACACGGGUCUCCAAAACCCGAUGUCGUAGGUUCAAAUCCUAU